rnacentral:rRNA from 1 species
UAAUACGUAGGGUGCAAGCGUUGUCCGGAAUUAUUGGGCGUAAAGAGCUCGUAGGCGGUUUGUCGCGUCUGCUGUGAAAACCUGAGGCUCAACCUCAGACCUGCAGUGGGUACGGGCAAGCUAGAGUGCGGUAGGGGAGAUGGGAAUUUCUGGUGUAGCGGUGGAAUGCGCAGAUAUCAGAAGGAACACCAAUGGCGAAGGCACAUCUCUGGGCCGUAACUGACGCUGAGGAGCGAAAGCGUGGGAGCGAACAGGAUUAGAUACCCUGGUAGUCCACGCCGUAAACGGUGGGUGCUAGUUGUGGGCUCCAUUCCACGGAGUCCGUGACGAAGUUAACACAUUAAGUACCCCGCCUGGGGAGUACGGUCGCAAGACUAAAACUCAAAGGAAUUGACGGGGGCCCGCACAAGCGGCGGAGCAUGCGGAUUAAUUCGAUGCAACGCGAAGAACCUUACCAAGGCUUGACAUAUAGAGGAAACGUGCAGAAAUGUACG